rnacentral:lncRNA from 13 species
GCAUGUUCAGCAUCAGAGGCCGUGCAUUUGACAACAGGGAACAAAAGAAAAGAGACGAUUAUGCAAGAAAGCUCUGGUGAAGAUACCAAAUAAAACCACUGAAAAGAAGUUCUUUGGCUUGCUGGAAAUUCAGUACUGGAAUAAAAUUCAUUUAAUGUUGAGCCUUCCCUACAGAGUUCUCCUGCAUGCCCUCUUGCACUGCCGCAAAAAAUAAAGCAAAGUCAAGUUAUUUUCCUCACCACAGACUGAAUAGAAGUGUAAGUUGGAAGAAAUCCUUGAAGACUUUACUGGAUUUACAUCACACUUUAACUCUCCGCUCCCCUGGGCUGUAUUUAAGACAUAUAGGAGAGUAAAAUAUGGAGACAGAGGGACAUGGAUGAAUCUGGAGAACAUCAUCCUCAGCAAACUGACACAAGAACAGAAAAUGAAACACCGCAUAUUCUCACUCAUAGGUGG